GCCAGAAAGACUGCGUGGCUGGAGCAGAGUAGGAUGAGGAAGAAAAGAAGAAGGGAAGAUCAGAGAGCUAACGGAGGGAGGAGGAGAGUACACAGAGGUCUUUAAAGGCCAUAUAAGAACUUGGACUUUUACUCUGAGGUAGGCGAAGAAUUUAGACACUUGCAUUUCUUUUUGGGAAAGAAAUGCCAUGAUCUGACUUAUGUUUCAAAAGGAUCACUUAUACUUCUUUGUGGGCAAUAGAAUGGAAGGAGGCAAGGGUGGGAAUGGGAAAACAGUUAUAAGACGAUUGCUAAAAUCUAGCAAGUCUGAUGAAAGUGAUAGCCAUGGAGGUGGUGAGGAGUAAUUGGUCUCUGAAUUAUGUUUAGGGUAAACACAGGAAGACUUCCUGGUGAAUCGGAUGUACAGUGGGAGUAAUAAAGAGAGGAAACAAGGGUGACUCAAAGAUUUUUGACCUAAGCACUAGAGGGGUGAAUUUUUCAUCUACUGAGAUGGAAAGCUUUGAGCAGCUCAGAUAUUUGGGAGAAGAUCAGGAGUCACUCUUGAAAAGUUUGAAUGAUCUAAAUGAGAGACUUUGAAUAUAGUUUUGGAGUCUGAGGCAAAGGAGCAUUCAGGGCUGGAGAUGUAAAUUUGGCAACAAAGGGCAUACAGAGGGAGACUGGAUGAGAUCCCCAAAGGAAGGAGAGUGGAUAAAAAAAGAAGCUACAAUCUGGGGCAAGUCAGUCCAGGACUAAGAGGUAUAAGAAAAGAUAAGUCAUUCGCAAAGUUCUGAGACUAGCAACCAGUGAAUUAGGAAGCCUUACAAGCCAAAAAAAUAGAAGUAUCAAGGAGUGGUGCCAUCUCUGUCAAGGGGGGUAAAAUGUGAGAGGACCAAAUGUGGGCCAUGAGAUUUAGCAACCUGAAGUUUAUCUGAGACCUCAGUAAGAGCAAUUUUGUUGAGAGUUAAGACCUGAUUUCAGUGGGUCUGUGAGAGAAUGAGAGGAGAGGAACUGGAUAGAAUUAAUACAGACCCCCUUUCUAAAUGUUUUUCUGCAAAGGCAAAGAGAAAUGGAGUCAUACCUGGUAGGGAGAGAGGGUCCAGUAAAAGGUUUUAUUUCUGUUUUUUCUUGUUUUUGUUGGUUUAGUCUUUUACUUUUUAAGAUAAGUGAGUAACAAUCUUUUGUGCUGAGGAGGAUGACUCAAAAAGUGGAAAGAGUUGACAAGGUAAGAGAUGGGAGAAGACAUGCAGGAUGCCCUUGAGUGGGCCGCAGGUCUUGGAAUCUGGUGCACAUGUGAAGAGAUUGGCUCUAGAAAGACCACAGACAAUUCACCUUUCAAAACAGCAAGAAAAGCACAGUGAGUACACGUGCUUGUGGGAGGGUGAGCAGGUGCAGUAGUGAGAGACUGGGGAAAUUCUCUUUUAAUUGUUUCACUUCUGUCAGUGAAGGAGAAAAAAAGAUUGUGCAUUGAGAGUAAACAUGAGGGAGCAGGUGCUGGAGAUUUAAAAGGGAGGUGAGAAAGGACAGUUGAUUGGGAAAGAGAUAGAAUAGUGGCUCUCAAAGGCAGUCUCCAGAUCAGCAGCAUUGGUAUCACCUGAAGACUUGUUAGUAAUGCAAAAAUCUCAGGCCUUACUUCAAGCUUGAUGAAUCAGGAACUCUGAGGUAGGCGCAGCAGUCUGUGUCUUAGCAAGCCUUGCAGGGAUUCUGAUGCACGCUGAAGUUUGAGUGUCACUGGAAUGGAUGGUGUCCAUAUGAUUGCUGGGUCACUCCGCCUAUCCUGAAUGUCAAGAACAUGCCAGAAAGUCUUUGCUUCCUCUUCGCCUUCCGCCAUGAUUGUAAGUUUCCUGAAGCCUCUCCAGCUGUGCAAAACUAUCAGCAAUGUGGGAGACAGGAGCUUCACCUUCAGGCUGGAUUCCAUGAUGGAGAAAACACAUGGAGCAGACCAGCAGUUAUUUGCAGCUAUCAUGUGAGCUGCUACGACUCCCUAGCCUUAAUCCAGCCCAGAUCUCAGCAGAAACUUAACACCACUCUGGUGACCCUGGAAUUGCAGCAGAGGCUCAAAUCACCAAAUAAGCAAUGCCUGGGGAAGCUCUGGAAGCGUAACCACACUGGGAUGGUGAAGGGGAAUUAGUCAAUGACUUUGGGUAACACCUGGAAUUUGACCUGCAGACUGGAAUACAGCUUCCUAUUAAAAUGUUUCAUUCUUAUAAGUCUUGUGUGCAUUUACGGCUUUAAGGAAGAAAUUCUCUCAGGCUUAAGACAUAAAUUAAAGCCAUAUAGUGUCAGUUUCAAUAAGAGCCUCUGUUUUUCAAAUUUUUUGACUUUCACUUAGAAAGACAACACUGUACUAGGAGGUUACUCUUUUUGAUCAGUCUCAACAUUUUUCUAGCUGUUCUCAACUCCCCUUCAAAAGUAUUUCCCACUAGAAUUACAUGAAUGUUGUGCCCCCAAGGUGAAUGCAGUGUUUGGAACAACAAAAUAUUGAUUUCCCAUUGUGUAACUUCCAUUUAAUUUAAACCAAAAUGCAAGAAGGGGAAAGGGUUGGUAGGAGAGUACGCUGAUAUAACCCUUUCCAGUGAUCCUUAAAAACUUCACACAUUUCCAGUGCUGAAUUUUGUUGACAGACACUU
rnacentral:lncRNA from 1 species